CCAUCAUUAAAUACAAAAGUAAUACAAAUAAAUGUAGUUACAGAGGACUUGAUCAUGGCCCAGAGACCAUUUAUUAAAGCAACAACCAUUACAAAUAGGGAUUUCCCUGAAGAGCAAAACAAGUACACUUACAAUGUGACUUUUUUUCAACUUUUACAAAUAAGCGGAUCAGUUUCAGCAAUUAGUUUGUAAAUCCUCACUUCCAAAGCUAACGCAAGUUGUUGUCCAGGAGCCAAUAUUUCAAUCACCAGUAUAUAACAAUGAACAAUCUUGUGUAUAAAGCCUUCUUUUAUCCAUGUUUCAGUGUCAUGCCUAUGCCUUGAUAUGCCAACAAUCGCAUUAAGAGUAGAAUCAGAUUAGUUUGUAACAACCAUUACAAAUAGGGAUUUCCCUGAAGAGCAAAACAAGUACACUUACAAUGUGACUUUUUUUCAACUUUUACAAAUAAGCGGAUCAGUUUCAGCAAUUAGUUUGUAAAUCCUCACUUCCAAAGCUAACGCAAGUUGUUGUCCAGGAGCCAAUAUUUCAAUCACCAGUAUAUAACAAUGAACAAUCUUGUGUAUAAAGCCUUCUUUUAUCCAUGUUUCAGUGUCAUGCCUAUGCCUUGAUAUGCUAACAAUCGCAUUAAGAGUAGAAUCAGAUUAGAUGAUGCCAUCUGUAUUAAGACCUAUGAUGCUCGGAGUCGGGUAUGGGAAUCGAGUACGGUACGUAUGUAAGUGUCGGAUCUUUUAAAUUUUAAAAUGUAGGAUACGGGAAUAUGGCUAAAAGGAAUCUAAAUUUUGGAUAUGGGUACGUGGAUAUGUUUUUCAAACUUCAAUUUUUUUAUUAACUCGAGAUGUUAUUUUGAAUAGACCAAAAUCAAUUGUUCACGAAGAAUGAAAUAGUAUUGAAUAAGGAGUUAAGAUGAAUAAAAUAGAAUUUUGGGGUUUAGUUUUUAAUUAUGAGAAGCUAAUUACUAAGUGUUAUAUAAAAUUAAAAAUGAGGGACUUGAUUGCAAUUUAAAUUUAGUGGAGCACUAAGUAAUAUUAUAUGGAACUUAUUUUUAGUUUAUACAAACAAAACCCUAAACCACCGAUACAGAGAGGAAAAGAAGGAAAAAAAAAGGGAAAGAAAAAGAAAGAAGAAGGGAAAAUCUAGUGCCGUCGCCUUUUUCCACCCUCCAACAGUAGUGCUUGAUUUUAGAGAGUAGAAACAGAAAGAAAAAGAAAAGAAAAAAGAAAGAAGUAAAAAACGAUGAAGUGUCCGGUAACACUUGGAAGAUCCGACACAUAUCCCAUACCCAUACCCAUACCCAUACCCAUGUCGUGUCGUGUCGUGUCGUGUCCGACACAAGUACUCCAACCAUUUCGAAGAGUCCGAGCAUCAAAGAUUAAGAUUGGGAAGAAAAUGCCAUUGAACUAAGGUACGAUAUGAAGGAGUAGAUCGUCUCUUGGAAUUUGAAAAUGCCUGAUUCAUCUUUGAUGGAGCACUUGAUUUUCUUAGAUUCAUAGAGAAGAUUUUUGUAAGUUGCUCAAUUGCAACCCUUCCAGUUCCAGAUAUUCCAAAUCUGUGGAGAUAAAAUAGAGUGGAAGAAUAUCAGUCAGCACCAUGGCACAGGAUAAGGAGAAUACGCGUCCUCAUGAAUUAGUUACAGUUUAUUUCCAAGAACCAUGAGCAUCAUGAGAGUAAGCAGACGCAGAGAUUAAAGUUUAUUUUGAAUAAAUGGAGAAACACUUCAAAUACACAGAUCAAUGGGCAGUGCACAACAGACACUGUAAUGUUCAAGGGGAGCAGAUUGCUGCAUUUGCAGAAUUGUGAUAGCUUAUACAGGGGUGAAGAAAAAUAAGCAAUGAAAUUAAUUAGCAAAAUAAGAAGUACAAAAUCACUUCACAGUCGAAUCACAAAAAUUCAAAGGAUUGUAUUUGUGCAAACAUGGAAACCACAGCUUAAGCAACAUUACUCACCAAGAUAAUGUGAUAUAUUGUCUGAAUCCUUGGUAAUCUAAAGCACAAUUUCUGGGAAUAUAUCUUUAAAAGAAUUUACCAUAAUUCCUAGCUUGAUCACAAGAAUUGACGAGGUAAGGUCAAGGUUGUCCAUCAACAUCAAGAUCUAUCACCUGGUUCAUGCUCUAAGUUCACAGUGUGUAGGCAAUGGGACGUCAAAGGUAUCAGAGAUCAGAAACAUCAACAGCCUCAAUGUUGGGUGGUUCUAUUCUAUCAAGAGGCAACAGUGUUGUAGGGAACAUAUACACUGGCAAGUUCCCUUUACCUCUAUGGCUCGCCCUACAAGUUGCCUUAUGGUAGACUUAUCUACUUUUUCUCCCCUGUGAAACUUAUGAGGGUCUCUUAAUAAACAGUUCGGGCUUAGUUUUAUAGGAUAUUGACAAUGGUCA
rnacentral:lncRNA from 1 species